ACACACAUGCACACACACACACAUGCACACACACACAGGUGAGUGUGGGGUCCUUCCUACCCCUAGAUGCACUCAUGUAUGCCCGUCCCAACACACACACAUGCACACACAUACACACAGGUGAGUGUGGGGUCCUUCCCACCCCGAGAUGCACUCAUGUAUGUCCGUCCCAACACACACACACGCGCGCGCGCGCACACACACACACACACACACACCCUCAGAUGCACAGACAGGUCAGGGCUGCUCUCACCAACCGGAGAAGGAGCCAGUUCAGCCCCUGGCAGCCAUCACUCACUACCCACACCUUUGGCUUAUGUGUUGCCUUCCCCGGGCUUCUGCUUGGCAUGCACAGUCUCUUAGGCAGUGCUAAUGCUUUGGACCUUGAAGCCUUUCUUAGCUUUCCUGGAGUGAGCAGGGCAGAGGCACGGAAGGAGAAGCUAGGGGUGUGCGGGCCGGGGACCCUGACAGGGCUAAGCCGAGGCACUCAGCAGACUGCUCGAUGCAAUUCACGGGAGCAGACAGUUUAUCAGGCCCUCUGUCGCUCAUGCUGCGACAUGGAGAUGAGUCAGGAGAGACUUGCAGCCUCUGGGUCCAAGUCUGGGGAGGGAGGGAGGCCCUGCAGGACAUAAGCCAACACGUGGCAUCAGAGAUUAGCACAGGCACAGCGUCAGAGUGUUACAGCAAUCAGCUCACUCAGGGAUCUUCAAGGGAAAUAUCAUCCCCCGUUAGCAAGGCCCAGAGGUGGAGCUCGUCAGAGGGUAGGGGGAAAGGCACCCAGGUGCGGUGAGGGGCCAGCCUGGGCCAAGGCCAGGUGUGAAAAUGGGUGACGUUCUGAUGAUGGGGUUACUCCUGCUGCCACAACAAAUACCACAGGCUGGGCCUUAAACAACAGCCGGCAGUCCAAGGUCAAGGUGUCAGCUGGGUGGGUUUCCGCGAGGCCUCUCUCCGUGGCUGGUUAUGGCCGCCCUCCCCCUGUGUCUUCCCAGGCCUUCCUCUGCGUAAGUCUGUGCCCAGUCUCCAACCUCCUCUUCUUUAUCAAGACGCUGGUCAUGUUGGAUGAGGGCCCACCCAUGUGACCUCACUUUUCCGUACUUACCUCUUGAAGACCCUACUCCAGAUAUAGUCACAGUCUGAUGUAUUGGGAAACUCCCGUCUGGACAGGCCUGAUUGGACAAGACCUCACUAAGCAUGCACCUCUCGGCCGCCCGCAGGGAAAGGAGCCCUUUCUGCCGGCUUCAAGCCAGUCCUGCUCCUCCCUGCUGGCCCUAUGGAGGAAGGCUGCCCAUUCCUGAGAGGUGACAGAAGUCGGAGGGUUUUCCCACGGAAGGGACCAGAACGCUCGUGUCCCCUGGAGUUUCUCUUUCAGGUGUGUCUUUACAGAAUGACGUGCGUGAGGAAGAGUCGUGAAUAAUACUGGGGAUGAGCCAAUGUCUCAUUUUUCCUCCUGUACCACACAAACAGAAAAAUGACAGGAACACUUCCUGUAUCAGUGCCAUCAUAUAGUAUUGGAUGAUUCCAGUGCAAUGCAACCACAUUUCAGGAGUGAAUACACAGCUCAGAACACGGAGCUGGGUGCAGUGGCCUAGUGCUUGAUUGAAGGAGACUGGGGACCCAAGCUGUUGGGUUUUGUUACAGAUGCUGAAAAAGCCUCACCAACUCUCUAGGGAAAUUUGAGGUGCCAAGGAACAUGCUGGGCACAGGAUCAAAUGGUGAACAGGACCCUGUGGCUGCCAGUCUGGUGGUGGAAACAGACAGUUGAAUGGACUUAUGAUGCGUCUGGGACUCUUAGAAGCUGAGGAUACAGAGGUGGACCAGACAUGAUCUCUGUCUUCAUGGAGCAACUUGAAGAACCUUCUAGCCUUACCUUCCCAUUCAAUAAAUGGAUAAAUUAAGGCCCGCGGAGGAGGACCGAUCUAUAUAGGUCUUAUGGUGGAAAGAUGGAAGAGUGCUGGAGGCUGGGAAGUUCAAAGUCAUGGCCCUGGCAGGUUCAGUGUCUGGUGAGAUCCCACUUGCUCAUUGGAAGCUGUCUUCUGUGUCCUCACAUGGAGGAGUUAAGAAGCAGGGUCUAUGGUAUAACUGUUGAGUGGAUAGCUGAAGUGGAGUGAAGAACAAGAUUGUUGGGGUCAAAGACAUCAAGAAAUGGAGAGUCCAAGCUGUUGGUUCAUAGGUCACUGGACCACAAGGAGGAAACCUGAUGAAGGAUCAUUAGUGAUUUUGAGCUUCAACUGGACGUGGUUGGUUAUAGGAUAAGUAUGGAAGGAAGAUUGAAAAGCCUGCCAGGAAGAUGGGAUGAUACAAGUCUGCUGGAGCUGGGGACAAGGAGAAAUGAUGGCUUGCCUGCCACACAGGGUUGUGGAGUUAGGAAGAAUAACGCCAAAGCACUUCAGGAACUGUCCAGUGCUGAACAAAUGUAGAGAAGAUGAUGAUGAAGCUGAUGACACUGAUAAUGAAGAUGACGACAAUGAUGAUAAUUGUGCUUUAUACAUGAAGAUACUUGCUUUUUGAUGGACUGAUUAGACACAGUUUCCCUGACUAGAGCUACCUAACACCUUCCUUCUAGAGUUUAUCUGGAUAACCUUGGAACUUCUACAUGACUGGGUCCUGCGUGUUGCACUGCUGGGAUGGGUGUGGGGAAGAAAACUCAUUGGUCUUCCAUGAUAGAAGUUUAACGUUUUAGAUGAAGAAACAAGACUGCCACCAAUCCAGAAUAAUUAGAUAUGGAAUUUAACUCAGUGCUGGCUGAGGAAUGGAAGUUCUGAGAAAAGAAAUGGAUGGAAAGGAGAGACAUCUGGGGCUAAGGUGUUUCUACCUGGGAGGAGCCUGUGGCACAGAAAGGGGGCUGGAUGCUUUGGGCUUGGCUCAGGCUCUGAAUUCAGAAGACAGUGUGGGACCCAAGCCUGCAUUGUGUAGCCCCUCAGUACAGCACAUGAGAAGCUGAUUCCCUUGGCCUGACUGCUUGGCUCUGAAGUCUCAGGUCUCAGACUCGACAUCAAUAAGGAGCUGGAGAGAGGGUGAGGGCCUCUCCCCUACCCCGGAUGGAGGGUGCAUGACUUGUCUGAGGUUCCACAGGGAUCUUUAAUGGCAGAUCUCCAGGCACUAGCUCAGCUUGAGUGUGGACACUGUAAUCGCCUUUUAGCAAAGACUGCCCUGAGCAGAGGCCACCAUCUUUGAGAGUGACCCCCUGGAGAAGCCAAUUGCAAUCCCUUCUACUCAUCCUGGUAAGCCCUGGCAUCUAAUUUUUCUGUUUGUACUCCCUGCUCUUGUUUCCCCAGGCCACACCUAAGUGGACCAGGCAUGGACAUCUCAGGGGCCUUCUAAGGGGAGCAGUCCAGAGGCUGGGCUGUCUGCACUGCAUCUUGUCUGUGGAGCACUGAAACUUAGUGACACUGAAACUAAAUAGAGUUGACUCCAGUCAGGGCUGCCUGGUGGGCAUGUCUGGCCAAAACACUGCAUCCCUCUGGCCACGGUGAUUGUUUCAACGUUCAGUGAUGUGACUUCAUCCAGGCCCAUGAGAUUCAGCCCCAGGGCUUCUGCUGGAACUAUUGGGAAAGAGAGGUUCCCCCACCCCUGGGGGCUACUAAGCUCAUACCAUGUAAGACCGGAGUCCCCAGGGACACCAUGAGGGUGAGCCAACCUGAAAGGUUGUGGACAUGAACUAAUACAGAAGAAAGCAAAGUGGAGAGAAGAGGAAAUAG